AUUGAACGCUGGCGGCAUGCUUUACACAUGCAAGUCGAACGGUAACAGGUUAAGCUGACGAGUGGCGAACGGGUGAGUAAUGUAUCGGAACGUGCCCAGUCGUGGGGGAUAACGUAGCGAAAGCUACGCUAAUACCGCAUACGAUCUGUGGAUGAAAGCGGGGGACCGUAAGGCCUCGCGCGAUUGGAGCGGCCGAUAUCAGAUUAGGUAGUUGGUGGGGUAAAGGCCCACCAAGCCAACGAUCUGUAGCUGGUCUGAGAGGACGACCAGCCACACUGGGACUGAGACACGGCCCAGACUCCUACGGGAGGCAGCAGUGGGGAAUUUUGGACAAUGGGGGCAACCCUGAUCAGCAAUGCCGCGUGCAGGAAGAGGGCCUUCGGGUUGUAAACUGCUUUUGUACGGAACGAAAAGGCUCUGGUUAAUACCUGGGGUUUAUGACGGUACCGUAAGAAUAAGCACCGGCUAACUACGUGCCAGCAGCCGCGGUAA
rnacentral:rRNA from 1 species